UGAACAGGGGCGGUGGGAGGCAGUUGGCUCUCUCCAAGUAUGUUCUUCGGACUGGCUCAGGAAGCAUCCACUUGGAGACAAUCCUGUGGACCUUUCGACCCCUGGGAAAGUCUUUACCUUCCCCAUCCCCUCUCAUUUUCUCCUCCUCCAGUUCUUCCUUUCCCUCUCUCUCCAUAUUCAGGUUCACACUCUCCAUCUCCAUCUCGUGAGCAGCAGCCAUCGUCCUGGUCCUCCCUCCGCCUGAAACAGACAUGAAUGUGAAUGGGGGUGGAGGAGGGUGGAGGGUGAGUCUUUGGUCAGCGGGCUGUGGUUCUUUCCUGGGCUCUUUGGAAAACUGUUUUCCUGGUCCUUCCUGUUUAUAGCUAGGAGGCAGCUUAAGAGCAUCAAAAUGGCCCAGACCACCUAAGUUACCCCAAAUCAGGUUUUCACCAUAUUGUUUUUAAAAGUUUAAAAUGCAGGGAUUUGGGGGCAGGUGAGUCUCUAAGUCUCUCUCUCUCUCUCUCUCUCUCUCUCUCUCUCUCUCUCUCUCUCUCUCUCUCUGCCCCACCCCCCCCCACCCCCGACUGUAAAGAAAGUUACUACCAAACCUGGCAACCUGAGUUUGAACUCUGGGACCCACGCUUAUUGUAGAAGAACAGAACCAAAUCCUACAAGUUACCCUCUGACUUCCGCACGUUCAUUGUAGAUCACACCCACACAAAAAAAUAAAAUUGAUUAAAAAAAAAUUAAAGCAUGGAGUCUAAUGCUCACAGACCUUAGAGGUGUAGUAAACUGUGUGUGUUCUUUUCUUUAUAAAACCAGCAAUAAGCCCUGAGGCAGUUGUGUUCUGUCCUCUAGACCCACAUCGUGAAAGCAGAGAACUGACUCUUGAGAGGCGUCUUCUAACUUCUACCCAACACACAGAGAAUAAAAUGUUUUAAAUGCAAUUUACAAUAGAUAACUAAGCCGAGUGUGUUGGUGAGCACCAGAAACUCCAUCCGUUGAGAGGCAGAGGCAAGAGGCCAAGGACACCACAGCAGUAUCGUGAGGUCCAAGCCAGCCUGGGCUGCAAGAGACCUCAUCUCCACAACAAACUCCAGCUUCCAGAGGACUCUGCUGGGAUCACAGACACCUACCAGCCCAUCUGGCUUUUCUUGGAUUCCAAGGAUCUGAACUCAGCUGGUGAGGCUGUUAUGGCGAACCAUCUCCCUAGCUCUCCAUCUCCCUGGAUUUGGCUAGGCUGGCUGGCUAUGAUCGUCAGAGAUUAACCUACCCCUCUUCCCAGUACUGGGAUGACACACUGUCUCCACUGCACCUGGCUUUUUAAUGUGUACAGCAAGCCCUUUACUGACUGUGCCAUCUCCCUAGCCCCUCAUCUCUCUCUUGAAGACUAAUUCCUAUGGUGGGUGGCACUUAAAACUUCCAAAGCUCUUCCUGUACCUAAGAGACACACAGAGUGGACCUACGAAUAUCAGACAUUCAAAGCAUCACUGAAUUUGAUAUUCUACCCCACUCCAUCCAAAACUUUUAUUUGAGGCUGAAGAAAACCCACCACCACCAACAACAACAAUAAGAAUAAACAAAAACCGGGCUGGAGAGAUGGCUCAGCGGUUAAGAGCACCCGACUGCUCUUCCAGAGGUCCUGAGUUCAAUUCCCAGCAACCACAUGGUGGCUCACAACCAUCUGUAAAGAGAUCCGAUGCCCUCUUCAGCUACAGUGUACUUAUAUAUAAUAAAUGAAUAAAUAAAUCUUUAAAAAAAAAAAGAAUAAACAAAAACCAAA